AGGGCGGGAUUUCCUGUGCUAAAGGAACAUCCACAGUCUGCCCUCAGCUUGCACAGUUCUGUCUGAAGUUAGGCCAACAAAGAACAUCCCACCCAAAGGGAAAGUUCUGCUGACUGAAAGAAAUACAAGAGAGGACAAAGAGGAGGGAGCAGGAAGGAAGACGCAAGAAGCUGGCAGAUGAGGGUGAUCGACUGAAAACCCAUGAAAGCACCCACUGAUGAAGCUCCUAAGUUCCUGUCCCCUUUCCUUGUCCCACCCCCACGUCCGGGCCUCUCUGGAACCCUCCUCACAUGUGCAGGAAGACACAGGACUGCACAAUAAGGAUCAGCUCAGGACACAGCUCUGGUGGAUGUAUACAAUAGAUGCCAUUGUGAAGACGAACUAAAACAUCUUGCCCUCAUCAGAGAGAGGGGAGGGAAACCCAGUAAAUGGAUUAAGGUGGCAACAAAGCCAGAAACAACAUGAGGACUCUGGGAAUGGUUUCUGAAAAACAAAGGAAGUUGACUGGCUGGCCUGUCUUUCUGCUUUCAAACCUGUGGUGGUCUGAGAUUUGGGUGCCUGUGGUCCUACAUCACAGAAGAUAGUAUUGCUCUGAGUGGAACAUCUUAUUGGGUCUUGUCGAGGCUGGUUGUGAACUCACCAGUACCUGAGGCUGACCUUGAACUCCUGCCUCUGUCUCCCAGUACUGGAAUUACAGGCAUGUGGCAUCAUGCCGGGCUCCAGCUUCAGCCUAGUUUCAUGAUGACUCUUGGAGUGUUAUCACCCCUGUGAGAGGAAAACUGAGACCCGAAGCCGAAGGAUGGUCAAGUUUCAUGUGUUAAAGACACUGGAGGUUUCGAUUUCUAAGAUCAGGAGCAAACCUUAAAGAAUUCUCUCUUCCUCAUUUAGGAGCCUGAGAAAUGAUUCAUGCAACUUUCAUUUGGCAACUGUCUGGGCAUGGAGGGCAGGGUUGAGACGAAGCAGGCAAGGCAUCCUGUGGCACAGCAAGUGUGGGGACAGAGGUGAGCUCUGGGAUGGGGGAGCACUCAGGGAGGCCUCAUGCGAUGAUUACAGAAGGGACAGUGAUACUGGGGCUCACCCAAGGGAAAGGAGGGUGAGAUGAGCAACAGCAGGCAAACCUGUGACACAGGCACUGUCACCC